UAAGUGAUCACAGUAAAUGAGUGAAAUAAGCUGUUCAGUGGCUAUAUCUGAGUAAUGCGGACAGAAUGACGGAUGUGAACUUUGAAAAUGAUCAGCUAUGUAAGCCUUGGUGGACUGUGUCCGUUCUGUGUACUUUUUGGGCAAAAAAACAACCAGAAUCCCGCACCUGGAAGUUCAUUCUCAGUCUCUGCAGAAGUGAUAGCACUGCAGUCCAAGGACACUAACAUGUCAAUAAGAGAAUCCUUUUCUUUUUUGUUUCAGAUUUUGUCUGGGAACAUGGCUGGCCAACAUGUCCUUCCUCAGGCUUUAUAUCAGAGCAAUAUGCUGAAAGCUGUGAAGAUUAGAGAGAGAACACCUGAAGAUCUGGUCAAACCCCCCAAUGGAAUUAUUCACCACUUCAGGACUAUGCACAGAUACACCAUAGAAAUGUUCAGAAUGUGCCAGUUUUGCCCUCAGUUUCGGGAAACACUUCAGAAGGCGCUGACUGACCAGGCCACCCAGACUUCACUGGAGCGCCAGAGGAAGCUGAACUGGUGCAUGGAAGUCAGGAGACUUGUGCCUUUGAAGACUAAUGGUGAUGGAAAUUGCCUCAUGCACGCAGCAUCACAGUACAUGUGGGGUAUUGAAGAUAUUGACCUCGUCUUGAGAAAAACAUUGUUUAGCGCCCUCAGGGAGAUUGAUACGCGGAACUUCAAGCUGCGCUGGCAGCGGGAGGCUAUUAAAUCCCAGGAGUUUGUAGAGACGGGACUCCGCUAUGACACCCGGAACUGGGAGGAGGAGUGGGAAUACCUCAUUGAAAUGACCUCUCCAGAAACAUCUGGGGCUCGAAACAGGCUUCCUUAUAACGCACUGGAAGAAAUCCACAUCUUCAUCCUUGCUAACAUCCUCAGAAGACCAAUCAUUGUCCUCGCAGAUAAAGUGGUGAGAAGUUUAGAAUCAGGCUCCAGUUUUGCGCCUCUGAAUGUUGGUGGUGUUUACCUGCCACUCCUUUGGCCAGCUGAAGAAUGCUACAGAUAUCCGAUUGUGCUUGGCUAUGACAAUAUGCAUUUUACACCUCUAGUGACCCUGAAGGACAGUGGGCCAGAAAUCCGGGCUGUCCCUCUGGUCACCAGCGAACGAGGCAGAUUCGAGGAUUUGAGCGUGCACUUUCUGACAGAUGUGGAGGAGAGGGAUAAAGAGCAGCUGCUAAAGGAUUACUUGAUAGUCAUAGAAAUUCCAGUGCAAGGCUGGGAUCAUGGUACAACUCAUCUAAUUAAUGCUGCAAAGUUGGAUGAAGGCAACCUACCCAAAGAAAUAAACCUUGUGGAGGAUUACUUUCAACUGGUGCAGCAUGAGUACAAGAAAUGGCAGGAGAAUGCUGAGCCUGCUAGAAGAGAGACCUGCUCCAGGACCAGACAGGAACUGUCUUUUUCCCAGCUCUCCCUCUUACAGGUGAAAUGUGAAACUCCGAACUGCCCUUUCUAUAUGUCUGUGAACACUCAGCCCUACUGCCAUGAGUGCUUUGAGCGGAGGUCACAGGGAAGCAAAGGAAGAAAGCAGACCUCUAAAGCAGCACCUGAGAAACUAAAAGUAGCUGGAUCAGGCUCCUCCCGCGGUGAAGUUUGUGAACCUGGGGGAUGGAUGUCUGAAGAGUCUGUAGCAGGGCCUCGCUCCGCACCUCCAACUGCUCCAAGCCUCUUCCUCUACAGUGAAACCACUGCCAUGAAAUGCAGGACUCCAGACUGUCCCUUCACCUUGAACGUGCAACACAAUGGACUUUGCGAACGCUGCUACAAUUCCAGACAGCGCGCUCCUUGUAACAAUUUGGAUGACCAGAGACAGGUAGACUAUGCCACGUGUAACGUGUGCCUUCAGAAGGCCAACAGGACCUUUAAUGGCAUAUGCAGCACUUGUUUCAAAAGGACUACAGAGCGCUCCUCGAAUGGCGGCCCUGGUUUUCUGCCCACGUGCCACCAGAGAUCUACAUCUGACCCAUCCCAGAUGUCACCAAGCCUCCUUCAGCAUUCUUGCCAUCAGGCUCCCAACAACAACUGUGAAGAGCCACCGCUGGCACCACUGCCUCAUGCCCCACACGGUCCGGAGGAGAAGAGGGGAAGUAACCUCUGCAGGAAACCUGGCUGCAAGUUCUUUGGAACCCCUCAGAAUGAGGGCUUUUGCACGCUGUGUUUCUUUGAGUACAGGGAAAACCAUGACAGUGCUUUACUACGCCAUCAGAGGAGAUCUCAGAGGAAUUCCUCAGCAGCUGGUCAGCAAGGGAGCUCUGCUGCAGCCUUCCACAAAAACAUGUCCUGCCAGCAGCGCAACUGUGGCACCCUGGGUAGCACCAUGCUGGAAGGCUACUGCCAGAACUGUUUCAUUAAAGCCCAGAGCCAGCGAUUUCAGGAAGCCAGAAGGACAGAAGAACAGCUAGUGAGACAGCCCGAAAGAACAGGACAGCGCAGAGAUUUACAGCGAGCAGCAUUGACUAGCCAGAAGAGACAGUGUGCUGUGGCUUCGUGUCGGAACAACCUGGCGUGCAGAAGUGAGGAGCUGUGCCAGGAGUGCCAGCGCCGCGGCCAGAUUGCGCAGCUGGGGAGUCCCAGGGAGCCAGCUGCAGAUGAGACCCCGAAGCAGCGCUGCCGAGCCCCUGCUUGUGACCACUAUGGCAAUACCAAGUGCAAUGGUUACUGCAAUGAAUGCUACCAGUUCAAACAGAUCUAUGGCUAGUGGAAAGGAAGAGUUGGUGAAGAACAAGAAUGAGGACAUCAGAGAGGACAGCAAAAACAGGAGCUGAUAACUUUGUGGAACCAGUACUCCAUGAGAUAUAGAGGAACCAAGAAGAAACUUGCCCCAAAAGAACAUGUAGAACAAGAUACAUGUCUCUGCACUAAGCAAUCAGCUAUACCAUAAGCCCACUCUGUUAUCAUUUACACAGUUAGCUUACUGGUGUUACAGAAAUGUAUUUGAAUUCCUAAAUAAUUCCCAGCUCAGGUGUGUUGUGUUCCCAUUGUAGAAAAUCAGAGUGCAGUAAUAUCGGAGCAGGGCUGUUUGGAGUAAGUGUUAACUGCAAGAUACUUGGCAUUGUUACCAAGGAAAAUAUAUGCCGCACUUGCAUUCAUAAUGCAUUCAGGAAAACAAGAUUUUCCUUUGCAGUGGUUGGAAUUAUAUCAAAGAACUACCUGGCUCCAUCACCCAUUUCUCUUGUUAACUGAGCAAAAGAUCUGAAAUGUUGUCAAACUACAUGAAAAAGUACUGGGCCACAAUUCUCUGCACACCUCACUCAGUUGGCUGCAGAUCAUUAUGUUUAGCUUCUUUGAAUCAUAAAGAUCGAGAUGUACCAGGGAAUUUGUAUCCAGCUUAUACGAUGAUUAAUGUUAUAAACUGAGGGGGAAAUAGAUGACCCAUUUGUUUACUCUGAGGUUUUCAAAGUUAUCAAGGGAGAUGAGAAUAAACCAUUGUGGCAUGAACAAGGAAGUGAAGUGAGAAGUUCAUCUCCUCUCUAGCUAGCUGUUAUCUAUUUUUUUGCAGUGAUUUAUUGCCAUAAUCAAUGAAUAAACACACUUUUUGCAGUGGAAAAUGUUCCUAAUAAAGAUAAAAUUCUAAUCUCAGUGAGUACUGGGAAGUACCAGUAAAAAGUUAUUAGCAUGGAAAAAAAGUCUAAGCAAUGAGAAAUACACAGGCAAAAAUACCUCUUCUCCUAGCUUGCUUCUAUCUACAAGAACUGCAUAAUUCUGAUUUACCCCUGCAAUAAACAGUGAACACAUAUUGAGGUAUUUGCCCAUUGUGCCCCGCUACCCUCUUUGUUGUUUUUGGGAUAUAAUACCCCUUGUAUAUUUGUCUGUAUUAAGAAGCAUUUGUUUCAGUGGAUCUAAAUUGCUAAUCCACCUAUCUUACACUGCCUGUUUUACAGACUCUUCUGUCUCCUCCAUUUUUACCGGUUUCCCAGUCUUUCUUUUUUUUUUUUAUUUUUAUUUUAUUUUAUUUUAUCUUAUCAGUAAUGACUUAAUAUUUUCUUCCUGGCCACAGAUGAAACUGUUGAAUUAAAUCAAAUCUGGCACUGAUCUCUGCAGAAAAUAACUAGAGAAGUCAUGUGCUGAAGAUUUCUCAUUGCCAGUCUAUUAAUAAUUUUGCCAGGAUGUCAGUUCUCAGUUUAAUAUGUGUGCUGUUUCUGGCAGUGAGAAUUGCUAUAUUUUUCUAUCAGAAUAUUGUAUAAUAUUGAAUUAAAUACCUCACAAAAGUCUACAUAAUCACUUUUAUUAACCAUUCUAGUAACUACUGUCAGCUAUUCAUGGAAUCAGUAUUUAAAAAAAAAGGCGUUUUAUUCUAUUAAUUAACUUAGAAUGACAUGAGCUAUUUUCCUUCUUCAAACAACUGUUGUAGGAUUUGUGGGUGUAAGUUGCCUUCAAGAAGAAAUUAUGUUAGUUACUUAUAUCACACAAGAACAGUAUUUUCCAUUGCAUUAAUAAUUUAAGGGGAACAUUAAAUACAGAACCAGGAUGUUUACUGAACACUUUUUCCCUGUAUGUUUAUAGAAUUGUUUAUCUCCAGAGGAGAUAUUUACUGCUGCUGAGAUGAAUUUGAUGAUAAAAACUUCUUUAUUGCCUUUAGCUUUGCUAACCUUUGAUUUUCCCUCAAUGUGAGUGUAACUUGGCUAGAGAAGAUAUCCAAAGUGUUCCUAAGUUCAUCCUUCUACAUGUUCGUGUUCUCUUUCUGUAAAGUGGAAUUAUAUUGUAAAAGAUCUAAUCAUUUUACACAGGCCAAAAAUGACCUACAAUAUAAAAGCUCUUCAAUGUCAUUAACUUUUUGUAGUCUCUGUGUACCAAUCUGAACCCCAUGAAAAAUAAACAAAGUCAAGCCCUUAGCAAAGUUUCAUGCCAGGCAAUCUUUUUUUACCUACCCUCUGUCCAAAACAUGUAAACCACUGUAUCUUCUGCCAUCUGGUGCUCGACUUUGUGG